CACCAAUUGAAGAAGCUCAGGCUCUUCUGCUGGAGGAUGAGAGUCCCAAUGCCCAGGCAUACCCCAUCACUCCAGCCCACAGCUGUCAACCACCAGAUAUGUGAGGGAGGCCACCCUAGACCACCCAGACAUGAGCUGACGUUCCAGCUGACACACUCACAGCCAAGCCAGACCCCAGAAUGGGAUGAAGAAACUGAGGCUCAAAGAGGCUUGGCCAAGACCACAGAGCCAGCACUCAAUGUCAUUCCCUCUACCAUGCAGCGGGCUCCCCUCUGCCAUCUCCAGCCGCCUGAAGCAGGGCCCAGCAUGAAUGAGACAGCUGGCAGAGUGAGAGCUGUGCUCACCACCUCAGCUCAGUGGCCCCCUGGGGGACCUGGGCCGUGACCUUGGCCUCAUUACUGCAUCGGACCUGUAAUCAGAUGCUUAGAAGGUCUGCAGAGAUCCACCCAGCCUGGAUCAUGGGGUAGAGACCCGCACGGCAAGCUGGAAGAUGUAGCCUCUUUGAAAUCACACCAUUCACUGGGGGACUCUCAAGGGUUCAUCACACUCCACUGGGUCCUGGCCAUCUGCUCUGUCCAUUUGAUGGACAAAUGGACAGCAAAGAGGGCUAGGGAUGUAUGACCUUUCUAAAAUAUGUAUGAAUAAAAAAACACUUUCUUUAGACAAGACAGAAUAAGAAUAGCGAAAAAUACCCAGCAGCUCCCUUUACCGAGCAUGCCCUGCAUUGGAGACACUUAGGUCACCACUGUACACCCAUUGUCCUUUUUAUCCUCCCCCCAAACCCCACUGGGUGGAAUAUAAAGCUGCAGAGACAGCCAGGCAC
rnacentral:lncRNA from 1 species